GAAAUUCUCAAAGGCCUGCGUUCUCUUUAGGCAGGAUGAGAGCAGCAGGGGUGCGCAUGGACUACACAUGCGCGAAAAUGAGGUGGCUAAAUGGGCUGAACCUCUCCAGACUACAGAUGGAAGAAGCAUUUAUUUUUUUUGAACGCUCCCCCAACUAAAACAAAACUCUCUGCCAACAGAAAACUUCCUGGUUUCAGCCAGGGAAAACUUCCCAGAGGUGUAUUCUGCAGACAGCAAAUGAACAUAUGCCUAAGAGCAAAACAAGAGCAGAAAGAGCAAGAGGGGCUGGCACUUCCGAGACUGAGGAAGAAGCGGUAGAGGAUGAAGAGGAAACCCGCUUGGUCCAUUUCCUCUUUUUAGACCUCAGUUGGUCAUAUUUUUCAAAUUAUUUCACCAAUAAAUCCCCAAACCA